AUGAGUGUGGCAGAGAAGAAAGAGAGUGAGAAAAGAGAGCGUUCAUGUAGCGUAAUGAGAGAGCAGGUCAGCCGAGAGAGAAGUUGAGAAUGUGUGCGUGAGAAAACGAGAAAUAAAUCAGUCGUGUGUUUUGCUUGGGCAUGAAAA